ensembl:lincRNA
AUGUUUGGCCUUCUUCAGCUCUUCUGUGGAUUACUGUCCAUAUCUAAUAAAAGCGGGACUGAGGGGUUGUUUGGGGCAACAGUCUUUUCUACUGUUGUCCCCUGCUCCCUCUCUCUUGCAGCUGACUUGUUUGUGCCUCGUUCUUCUCCUGUGCACCGUCAGGAAGCGGCAAGUGGUGCCCGAACAGGGACCGAAAUGAAACAGGAGAAGAAACCCCCAUGUGAGUUUUUGCAUGGCCGGGCCUUUUUCCUGCUGUAUAUGUUUUGCAGCACAUCGAAACUGCUACUGUUUCUACCUCUGAUGUAAUAUGAUGACCCUCAUCACAGCCAUGCAGGCGAAAAUUCUUCCAACGACUGAUGGAUCAAGAAGUUACAAAAUUGACUUUUCUUCUGCACAAACAAAAAGAGGGAGAUGCAACUAUCCCUCAGAACAAUGUAUUACUUAACAUAUAACCCAUGGGAAAUUUUACUACUUACCAAGCACGUUUAGAUACAGCCUUAAGAAAUACACAUACUGGCAACAGGUCUCUGGGGGAGAGGAUGGUAUAUGGCCUUGAAGCCAAGCAGCUGGGAACACCCAGCCCACUCAGGGCAGAAGGUCCUCUGCUUCAUUUUUCCAUUAUCUCCGCCCCCUGUCCCCCUCCCCCACCCCAGCCCCAGAGCGCCUGUGGCUAGUUAAAUAAGUCCUUUGAAUGUGCUUGUUCAACUAUAAACUUUCUACGGCUUGUCCAGGAUUUUGCCCUCCUUGUUUAUCUACAAGGUGCAUGACUAAAGUUUGGCCUUCUUUGGCUCUUCUGUGGAUUACUGUCCAUAUCUAAUAAAAGCGGGGCUGAGGAGUUGUUCGGGGCAACAGUCUUUUCCACUGUUACCCCCUGCUCCCUUUCUCUUGCAGCUGACUUGUUUGUGCCUCAUUCUUCUCCCUUGCAUCAUCAGGAAGUGGCAAUGGAGGGGAACCUGGGUGGCUCAUUUGGUUAAGGGACCGACUCUUAAUUUUGGCUAAAGUUAUGAUCUCAGGGUUGUGAGAUCAAGCCCUGCUUCAGGCUUUAUGCUGGGUGUGCAGCUUGCUUAAGAUUCUCUCUCUUCCUCACUCGCCCCCUUUCCCUCGCUCUCUUAAGUAAAAAUAAAUGAAUUAAUAAGUUAAUUAAUUAAAACAAAACAAAACAUAACAAAACACUAGACAGACCUUUAGCACCAUGCUUCGGGAGCCAUUUUAAGCAACAAAAUCUGCCCCCCUCUCCAAGUACAGAAAUGUGAAAACCAUGGCACUAAGCAGAUUGAAAAAAAUUUUUUUGUUCACACUGUGGGCAUUUAAACAAAAAACAGAGCAUUGCUUUGUUCGUCCUCAGUUGGCAACAUGCAAGUUAGAAAUUCUAAUUUUUUUUUAUGACUCUAUUCAUGUUAACUAUGAAAAGACUAGGUUGAUUUGGGGGUUACAAAUAAAUUCUUGCAAGCAAAUGAAUCCUGAAACAUGUAAUCCAUGAAUAAUUGGGAUUAAGUUGUAUAUUUAAAAAGAUGAUAAGUGGGGCGCCUGGGUGGCUCAGUGGGUUAAGCCGCUGCCUUCGGCUCAGGUCAUGAUCUCAGGGUCCUGGGAUCGAGUCCCACAUCGGGCUCUCUGCUCAGCGGGGAGCAUGCUUCCUCCUCUCUCUCUCUCUCUGCCUGCCUCUCCAUCUACUUGUGAUUUCUCUCUGUCAAAUAAAUAAAUAAAAUCUUUAAAAAUAAAUAAAUAAAUAAAUAAAAAGAUGAUAAGAGUUCGUACCCGUAUUUUAAAUUCCAAACCCAAAUCUCAAGUUUCAAACUGGACUUUGCCAUUGCCAUGAUUGUGAAUCCUUUGUUAGUGCAUUACCACAGUGUAAAUCCAACUAUUCCCAAUGUAUUCACUUAUUUGCCCAAUCAACAGACUUGACACAAUGUAAUCAAACUUCUAUCCACUCUGGCCACCUUCACUACCUAACCUGCAGGGGCCUGUCCCCCAAGCCCUCCAGACUGGGGACCCCUGAGCCACACCCUAGGACUCCGCCUGCCACCCAGGAGGAAAUCGUGCCAUUCGGAGCCGUGCAAAACCCUCAGAGCAGAGAAACCUGCAUGCCCCUGCUGAGGCCAA